rnacentral:rRNA from 1 species
UUCGGAAUUACUGGGCGUAAAGCGCACGUAGGCGGCUUUGUAAGUUAGAGGUGAAAGCCCGGGGCUCAACUCCGGAAUUGCCUUUAAGACUGCAUCGCUAGAAUUGUGGAGAGGUAAGUGGAAUUCCGAGUGUAGAGGUGAAAUUCGUAGAUAUUCGGAAGAACACCAGUGGCGAAGGCGACUUACUGGACACAUAUUGACGCUGAGGUGCGAAAGCGUGGGGAGCAAACAGG